rnacentral:misc_RNA from 1 species
GAAAAUAAAUAAGAUCUAAUCCAAUAUCUUAAAAAUACACAAGAUUCAAUUCAGAAUUUAAAGAUAAAAUAAAACAAUCAUAGUUUUAUGAAAAGGAAAACUUGAUUGAAUAAAUUUAAAAAACUUGUACAUAAAAUCAUAGUUUUAUGAAAAGGAAAACUUGAUUGAAUAAAUUUAAAAAACUUGUACAUAAUAAGAAUAUAAUAGAUAUUUAUAGAGAUUCUAAAUCCUAAUCUAAUAGGAAAAUAAUUUAAAAGACCUAAACUAAAUAAGAAUAAUAUUUUAGAGUCCUAAAUAAACUAAUAAAUAUAAAUAAAACUUAUUUAGGGAAAUAAAGAAUCCAACUAAAAAUAGAAAUCUUUGCGAAAUAUGGAAAACAUAGGUGCCUAAUUUUGAUUGCGUUAUUCACUCACACUUUUGAAAAAAUUUGAUCUCAAAGUUUAAAGUAUUGAAGAAUCAAAAACUCCAUUGAAAGAUCACACCAUGUCUUCUUCUUCAAUGGUAUCAAUAAAAUUAACUUGAAUAAAAUUGAAUUAAAAAAAUUACAUGUUGUCCUUUGUAUCCACAGAAACAUCUGGACAAAUAAAAUCAACUAAAAUAAUAGGAGUUAAAAGGUUACAAAAGUCUUCAAUCUCCAUAAACUCCAUGAUUUGAGUUUCUCCACUUUCCACUAUGGUCUCUACGGAUUGUUCCUCUUCAAUUUUCAUGGUUUUUUGUUAUUCAUUCUCUUCACUUUCUUCAAACUCUUCAUCAUGCACCAUAUCAAAAGGCAAUACAACCAAGUUUGAGAUUCUUCAAGUUCAAAUCCUUU